GCUGGGCUCAGUGGCGCAUGCCUGUGAUUCUAGCUGCUUGGGAGGCCGAGAUAGGGGAAUCCCGAGUUCAAAGGCAGCCUUAGCAAUUUAGUGAGGCCCUAAGCAACUCAAUGAGACCCUGUCUCUA
rnacentral:sRNA from 1 species